AGCUUCCACAGAUGACAGUGCAGCGGAGAAGAAAGGUGGAACGCUUCAUGCCGGCUUAAUUGUCGGCAUUCUUGUUCUGGUCCUCAUUGUGGCUGCAGCCGUCCUCGUGACCAUCUACAUGUAUCAUCACCCAACAUCAGCAGCUAGUCUCUUCUUUAUAGAGCGACGUCCAAGCAGAUGGCCGGCAAUGAAAUUCAGAAGAGGAUCUGGACAUCCUGCCUAUGCUGAAGUGGAACCUGUUGGAGAAAAAGAAGGGUUCAUCGUAUCAGAGCAGUGCUAAAGUAUCUAGGACAGAACACCAGUACUGGCCUACAGGUGUAAGACAUUUACUUUGCCUCUGUUUAAUGAAAAGGAGCCCUAAGCUGCUGUAGCCCAAUAGAAGAUUUUGGAUAAGCUUUGUCCAAGAAGAAGAACUGUCUAAAAUACCAGAUUACCACUGCACGGUAGUUUUUGUUAGUGGACUGAGACACAACAGUUCAUGCAGAACACUUGUCAGUGGACACUUACGGUAUCAGAACUAUGGCAAAAGUGCCAUGUUAUUGGCUUUAGGUUUGGGGAUGCACAGUAAUCAAGAACAUAAUAAAGUUUUGGUGC